GACGGAGGAUGCAAGUGUUAUCCGGAAUCACUGGGCGUAAAGGGUGCGUAGGCGGGUCUUUAAGUCAGGGGUGAAAUCCUGGAGCUCAACUCCAGAACUGCCUUUGAUACUGAGGAUCUUGAGUUCGGGAGAGGUGAGUGGAACUGCGAGUGUAGAGGUGAAAUUCGUAGAUAUUCGGAAGAACACCAGUGGCGAAGGCGACUUACUGGACACAUAUUGACGCUGAGGUGCGAAAGCGUGGGGAGCAAACAGGG
rnacentral:rRNA from 1 species